rnacentral:tRNA from 1 species
UCCUCUGUAGCUCAGUUGGUUAGAGCACUGCACCGGAAUCGCAGGGCCGUAGGUUCAAUUCCUACCAGAGGAC